CUGUGACCUCAGCCUGUGUCAUCUCCACCAGGGAGCCUCUCCAGCUUAGAUUAGAGCCCCUGCCCCUCUAGGAGGUCACCUUCACAGCUUCUUACAUGUUGUGAUUCUGUUUCUGCCUCCUGGGGACUCAGCAAGCAGGCAAGCCUGAGCUCCUUCUUUAGACCUGAGGAAUUUACUCUGAAGCUCUGAUCCACAUCCUUGGUAAGGAUGCACAGUGCUGCUGGCUGGUGUGUACAUCUCUCUGUGGGUUACUGGGGUGGCCUUUUAUGUUCAACCUUGUAUGUACACGGGUGCUUUCCAGCAUUCCCAGACCCUGCCUUGACAACACAAUGUGAUGACAUUAAAGAUAGGCUUGCAAAGUAAAA